rnacentral:rRNA from 1 species
GUGGGGAAUAUUGGACAAUGGGCGAAAGCCUGAUCCAGCAAUGCCGCGUGAGUGAUGAAGGCCCUAGGGUUGUAAAGCUCUUUUACCCGGGAUGAUAAUGACAGUACCGGGAGAAUAAGCCCCGGCUAACUCCGUGCCAGCAGCCGCGGUAAUACGGAGGGGGCUAGCGUUGUUCGGAAUCACUGGGCGUAAAGCGCACGUAGGCGGCUUUGCAAGUCAGAGGUGAAAGCCCGGGGCUCAACCCCGGAAUAGCCUUUGAGACUGCAUCGCUCGAACGUCGGAGAGGUGAGUGGAAUUCCGAGUGUAGAGGUGAAAUUCGUAGAUAUUCGGAAGAACACCAGUGGCGAAGGCGGCUCACUGGACGACUGUUGACGCUGAGGUGCGAAAGCGUGGGGAGCAAACAGG